AGGAAUUGGCGGGGGAGCACUACAACGGGUGGAGCCUGCGGUUUAAUUGGAUUCAACGCCGGGAAGCUUACCGGGGGAGACAGCGGGAUGAAGGUCGGGCUGAAGACCUUACCAGACUAGCUGAGAGGUGGUGCAUGGCCGCCGUCAGUUCGUACUGUGAAGCAUCCUCUUAAGUCAGGCAACGAGCGAGACCCGCGCCCCCACUUGCCAGCGGUUCCCUUCGGGGAAGCCGGGCACACUGGGGGGACUGCCGGCGNUAAGCCGGAGGAAGGUGCGGGCAACGGCAGGUCCGUAUGCCCCGAAUCCCCCGGGCUACACGCGGGCUACAAUGGCCGGGACAAUGGGUACCGACCCCGAAAGGGGUAGGUAAUCCCCUAAACCCGGUCUCACUUGGGAUNGAGGGCUGCAACUCGCCCUCGUGAACCUGGAAUCCGUAGUAAUCGCGCCUC
rnacentral:rRNA from 1 species